CCUACUUAUUUUUCCUGCAUUUUUGACUAAUUAAAAAUACUUAUGAAAAGUUCGUCAACGGAAUCGUUUUUGGUGAUGUCAUUUUUAGUCAAAACAGCAAUUACCUAGAUUGUAUCAUUUGUAGAGCACAUGUGAGACAUGAAUGUUUGAUAGUGUUAUCCAUGAUCAUGGAAAUCGUUUCGUUAAGUUGAAAAAUUUAGCGUUAGCGUUAGCGUAGUUACGGCAUACUUCGUAGAUUGGAUACUAGCAAUAUUCAUGUAUCAUUUUAUAAUCUCAUCCAGACUGCUUUCAGGAAUAAAGCUGGGGAGUAAACCUUGGCCCAAUCUUGAAAUAACCAAAAGCAUGAGUACUGCUAUUCAUGCCCACGCCCAUCUUUACCGUAACUUGAGAUAGUGGAAGGAAAUGUUGAUGCAGCACUUACUCAAUGAGAGCCCACCGACUCAGCGACGCCCUCAUAAGCAGGCAUUACAUUUGAUCUCAUCUUUCGAUCUUCUGAGCGAGAUAUGGAUCGAAUAACAAGAUAUUAUCUUAGAGCUCUUUGAUCGAUUUUUAACCUGGAUCUUUGGCUCAUUUGAUCAUAGAUCAAAUCUUUGUACCUCAGCAAACUGUGCGGAAAAAAUGCUCAAUCAGUGACACUGUUUGUCAUGGGAAUCAUAACCACGACUUCCAAGGAACAUCAUUCGUAAAUUACCGGUAAAGCAGCCUUCUACUUCAUUGAAGGCUCCUACCCAAGAAGUCCUUCUCCCAUCCGCAAGGAAUAUAGAAAAACCUCAAAUGGCAUGUUUUUGGAUUAAAUUGAUUCAGAAAAGAUUCCUUGGCAGUAUAAUCUGACAGUAGACAACAGUCUUGCCGCCCAGUGGAGUAAAAGAAGAAGGAGGUUCAUCAAAGGACACUACUAGGAACCUUUCGUCUCAAAAUCUGAAUUUCAUGCACUAUGUACUCUUGUAAUAUAUAUGUCAUCAGUAGGGUCAACAUGACAUUAAAUUAAAUAA